rnacentral:lncRNA from 1 species
UAAUAUAUAAAUCUACAAGCCAAUGAGACUUAGAACAUAACUUUUUACAAUGCAUGGGACAGGCUUAUUCAUUCUCACCAACUCAAAAUAAAGGUUAAUAUUGAAAGAAAGAAAAAAAUUGGUUUUGAUUCUUAAAACUACCUUUAAUUUGACUCUUUUUCAUAUAUAACACUCCAGUUGGUUAAUCAUAUUCAAAGGAAGGCAGUUACCUCACAAGUAGCUCUUAUGAUGUCAAACAUUCUAUAGCCUGAAAUUUCAACCUCAACCUUGACCUUCACUUCCCUCACAACCACUUGAAUUUUUACCCUCGCAGCCACUUGAGCUAAAAUGAAAACUCCACUUUGCUUUCAUCAGUUUUGGGGAUUGUUUUUAUACUGCUGUGGUGAAGCAGGAGUCCAGAGCUGACACUGUGAGGAAGCACGGACCAGAGCCCGGCCUGUGGUCCUGCAGUCACUCUGGAAAUGACCUAGGACACCACGAGGAGGCGAAUGGGGGAAUCUGUCCCAGCUCCAGUGUCCUGCUCCAGAGUGGCUCGUGGGCCUCAUCGCGUCACUCCAUGUUAGGGCUGGCGCGUUCCCAUGGAGACAGGUGUACCUUGAGGAAAGGGUGACUGCAUUCCAUAUCCUGCUCUACAUUCUCUCAGAAACGCAAGUGGAUUAGUUUGUCCCUAAUGCAGACAGAAUAAAAAUCGUGUAGUAC